rnacentral:lncRNA from 1 species
CGACAUUCUUUUCAGUGUGCAUUACAUCAAUGUUAUGUGGAAGAAGAAGUUCAUCAAAAUAUGGGAGGUUCCACGAGCACGACUUGUGAGUCUAGGCAUGUUGCUCACCAUAUCCCAGAAAACCAUCUCCUUGGGCAUUGACCUCGAGAGCAUCCAACUGAGCACGAACCACGGGACCAAUCAUCAUCUAGGGUGUAGGGCCUUCAACUACUACAUCUUUCAUAAAGUUCUUCAUAUCUUGUCUGAAUGGAUGGUCAAGAGGGAGGAAUUGUCGAUGUUUGUUGAAUGAAGAAUACUUGCCAUCCUUUGUCAACCAAAUGAACAUCAGAGACGCCUUGCAUACUGGGCAUGGGAACUUCCUGUGAACACAACAGCCGCAGAAUAUCCCAUAUGCCGGAAAGUCAUGCAGGGAGUAGUGGUACCAAACAUGCAUUUUGAAGUUUUUCUUUGUAGCUCGGUCAUAUGUCCAUACCCCUUCCUCCCAAGCACAGACCAAAUAAUCAAUCAGAGGCUCCAUGUACACACUCAUAUUAUUCCCCGGGUGUUCAAGACCUAGAAUUAUUAAUGACAAGAAUAUGUUCUGUCAUUGAAAGAGCACGCCAGGAGGGAGAUUGAGGGGGAUAACGAACAUGGGCCAACAAGUGUAUGCGGCAGCUACCAUUUCAUAAGGAUUGAACCUAUCUGUUGCCAACGCAAUACGUACAUUACGAGCCUCUUGAGCUUUCUCACAAUGAAUCAUAUCAAACCUUGUCCAUGCUUCACCAUCGGAUGGAUGUACCAGCUUCUCAGGAUUGUAUCAACAUCCGUAUUUGUGCCAUGUCAUCUGUUUCGCGGAUUCCACAUUCAUAUAAAGUCGUUGGAACCUCGGUAUGAAUGGAAGGUAUUGUAGGAUCUUCAUGGGGAUUGCGAGCUGCCUCUUCUGACCAUCACUAGAUUCUACCUCCAGGAACCAAGAGGAAUUACACUUCACACAGUACUUUGAUACCACUUGUUCUUUCCUAAAUAAGGUGCA